rnacentral:lncRNA from 1 species
CUUUCCUUUAUUUUUUUUCCCCUUUACCCAUUGUACUGCCUCCUAUUUCACUGUCUGCUGUCUACCAGCGCCUAAGGAAACUGUGAUUGGUAAUUACUGGUGCCUGGUGCUGCCCAGCCUGCAACAAAAUUGCUCAGUGUGAAAGCUACUUUUAGAAGACAUUUUGGAAGACAGGAAGGCCAGAUACUUCAGGCAAGAGGCAUAAUGACUUGGGGCACAGACCACUAAAAAAAAAAAAUCAAUCCUGAAUCCCUGAGGCUUCUGUACUCUUGUUGAGAAGGCAGAACCUAGUGUUUCAUCAAAUUUUUUGUGAUAACCAUUGAUGACGUUGCAGAAACCAUGAUAAUGUAAAAUAAUGGAUUAAAUUUGUAUGAGCAUAACUGUAGUGAUGAAACAAUUUAAACUCAUUUCUGAAGGCAUUCAUGCACUGGUGCUUGCUCAGGGUGUGAGCUAGAAGGCCACUAUCCCUUCAAAAUUAGACAGAGAUGUUGAUGACCAUUCUCAGUUAUUAUACUUCUAAAUUACAGCCUGUCCUCAUCCUUGAAGAUCAAAAAGGGAGUAAUUUCUGUUUUACAGGAGAUUACUCGCACUACAAGUCUAACUCUUGUUCACUUUGAGGUACUUAAAUAAAUCUGGAGCCCUGGCUGUAGGACAGACAGACAGUUCCAGUGGGAAAAUCAGCUCUGAAUUUCAUAAUGGGAAUUUCAUUCAUUUUCUGAAUGUGUUCAUCCUUAUCCAUUAGCCCAGAGGACCCAGGACUAGCAGACGCCUUUGAAAUUCAGCCCACUGCCUCAGGUUAGAUUAAAUGAAUCCAUACUUCUGAUCAGCAGAGUUAAAAAAAAAAAUACAAAACCCAAACCAACCAAAAAGCACCAACAACCACAUAACCAUAUAAUAAUAUGGAAGGAAAUAAAGGACAAGGGAUAUUUUUAUUUGUGCAGCUGACCAGAUAUUUCCAUCUUUGGAUUGCUCCCUCUGCUGCCUGCAAGGUAGCUGGAGGGGAGCUAGCAAAGCUACCCAGGUGGACUCUGCAUCCCUCUUCCUCGCCCAACUCCCAGCAUUAGAGAUGCCGACAGUUACUAGAUAAAGUUAAAGACUCAUGUAGUGAUCUUCACACUAAUUGGACUGUAAUGUAUAGCCUCGGUCAAGCAAAUCUCUCCCAGCACUCCUCUCCACAGACGGCAAUCAAGCCAUUUACAGAAGAUGCAUCGGCUGCUGGGACCCUGGAGUAACCUUAAACUACGCUGGCCUUUUAGCAGAAAACACAAUUAAUUUUGAUACUGAAGGGCAAUUAGGACUGGGGUUAAAAUAAAAAAUCUUCUGAACAGAGAAUGUCAAAGACUGGUAAGGAAACUAUUUCCCUUGUACACAGCUUGUUGAAGGUCUGUAAGCACGGCGACUGUCAGCUCACGUUAAUUCAUAUCACUUUGAAAACCUCUCAUUUCAAUGUAGGAAAUAUAAAUUCAGAUUAAUAAGCACUGUGCUCAAACCUCACUAAGACUGAUGGCUGUUUUCUUUAAGUCUUUUGCUGCUGAAAUGAGCACAGCUUCUCCCUCUUGCUGGGGAAACCUGUUUUACAUCCCAGAAUGUAGUGAAAUGACCAAAUGCAUUUAUUUUGUUCUGUUUCAUUUCUAAAAGAAGAUAGUCUCCCAGAUGACGCUCUGCAGAUCACGGCUGAGAGCAAAUCUUGUCAGCAACUCUGUAAACUACUCUUUAGAAAUACAGAAGAUGUUCACAGUAAUACAUAUCUACAAUGCACCCACAUGCCCUGAUGCAUGUGCAAGGCAGCCAAAAUUUUGACCUCGCCUGCACGAACUGCAUAGGUCGAUGCCACUCUCAAUAAGUCAAGCAAAUGCACCAGAUCUUCCAAGUGUAUACUAAGGAGGUUUACCAGCCAGUGGUACCCAUGCAACAAAGUCAUCACAACUCCUGCAACAAAUCCUAUGGCCUUGACUUUGAAAAUCUGUUCCUGCUUUGGUCCAGGCUUAGUAGAGGACUUUCUUUUCUCCAUGACCUCCAAAGUGCUAUCAGAUGUCUGAGGUUCUCUUUUCUGUUUAAAGGACACUCCAAUUUGAAGAGAACUGUUUUCUCAUCUCAGGCUCAGGCAGCCAUCCCACAAGCUUUACUCGGGAAACCACUAACUGAUGUUAGAUUUACACAGUGGGUAGUUUUUAUCUAUGUUUUUCUUAAAAGCAGCAUCCUGGGGGAAUCUCUCAGUGGCAAAACCAGCACAAGAAGCACUAACAGUCAAUAGAGCAUCUGAGGAGUUCGCAGGGUUAAAUCUAUUGUUUCCAGGGUUUGAUUCAAUCUCUAUUUUGUCAACCUGUUUAAGUUCCAGGCCCCAUUCCCACCAGCUACAAAGAAGGGUGAAGAGCCCGGAGUAAACUCAUUUGGGCUUUUUAAGUACAACAUGAUUCAUAUUUGUGUGCAGCCUCUGUCAUGGGCUGUGCUCUGCCCACUGCCAGAAACCAUGUCAUCCUCUCAAUCUUGUGCCAGAGGGGGCAGGUGGACAAGAUAACUUAAUAGCUCUUAUUCAUUUGAAAUUUCUGUGGUUAUAGGGUAGGUCACCUUGUUCAGCAAGGGAGGGAAAGCAUGUAAAUCUUCAGCCCAAACUCAAGCUCUGGUGUAAGCAACUUUCAGAGAAGCUGAACCUAUAAUCCUUCUCUUAUUAUCUUGUAAUUUCUUGGGGGCAUUCCUUUACAGAAGAGCGAUGCAAAGGCUCCAGCAGUAAUGAAAACACAAAACAAAAAUAAUCCACCACGUUCACACACAUGACACGAAAGUGAAAACUCCCACCAGUGACUUGGUGAGGGACAGGAGCAGAUCUGGUCUCUGCAAAACAUAUGGCUCUGUGUUGGAAAGAGGCGUAACACCGGUUCCCACAUCCAUGCGCAUUCGGGUAAGAGCGCA